rnacentral:rRNA from 1 species
GAGGAAUAUUGGACAAUGGAUGGAAAUCUGAUCCAGCCAUGCCGCGUGCAGGAAGACGGCCCUAUGGGUUGUAAACUGCUUUUGUAUGGGAGCAAUAAGGGCUACGUGUAGUCCGAUGAGAGUACCAUACGAAUAAGCACCGGCUAACUCCGUGCCAGCAGCCGCGGUAAUACGGAGGGUGCAAGCGUUAUCCGGAUUUAUUGGGUUUAAAGGGUGCGUAGGCGGUUUGAUAAGUCAGCGGUGAAAUAUUUCAGCUUAACUGGAAGGGUGCCGUUGAUACUGUCGAGCUUGAAUUUAGUUGCUGUGGGUGGAAUGUGUGGUGUAGCGGUGAAAUGCAUAGAUAUCACACAGAAUAUCGAUUGCGAAGGCAGCUCACAAAGCUAAGAUUGACGCUGAUGCACGAAAGUGUGGGGAUCAAAC